UAAGUUAAUAAGGGCGCACGGUGGAUGCCUUGGCACUAGGAGCCGACGAAGGACGUGACAAACGACGAUAUGCCUUGGGUAGCUGUAAGUAAGCGAUGAUCCAGGGAUUUCCGAAUGGGGGAACCCAACAGGUAAUACCUGUUACCUACAUCUGUUAAGGAUGUGAGGAGGAAGACGCAGUGAACUGAAACAUCUAAGUAGCUGCAGGAAGAGAAAGCAAAAGCGAUUGCCUUAGUAGCGGCGAGCGAAACGGCAGAAGGGCAAACCGAAGAGUUUACUCUUCGGGGUUGUAGGACUGCAAUGUGGACUCAAAGAUUAUAGAAGAAUGAUUUGGGAAGAUCAGCCAAAGAGAGUAAUAGCCUCGUAUUUAAAAUAGUCUUUGUACUUAGCAGUAUCCUGAGUACGGCGGGACACGUGAAAUCCCGUCGGAAUCUGGGAGGACCAUCUCCCAACCCUAAAUACUCCCUAGUGACCGAUAGUGAACCAGUACCGUGAGGGAAAGGUGAAAAGCACCCCGGGAGGGGAGUGAAAUAGAACCUGAAACCGUGUGCCUACAACAAGUUCGAGCCCGUUAAUGGGUGAGAGCGUGCCUUUUGUAGAAUGAACCGGCGAGUUACGUUAUGAUGCGAGGUUAAGUUGAAGAGACGGAGCCGUAGGGAAACCGAGUCUGAAUAGGGCGCCUUAGUAUCAUGACGUAGACCCGAAACCAUGUGACCUACCCAUGAGCAGGUUGAAGGUGCGGUAAGACGCACUGGAGGACCGAACCAGGGCACGUUGAAAAGUGCUUGGAUGACUUGUGGGUAGCGGAGAAAUUCCAAACGAACUUGGAGAUAGCUGGUUCUCUCCGAAAUAGCUUUAGGGCUAGCGUCGACAUUAGAGAUUCUUGGAGGUAGAGCACUGUUUGGGUGAGGGGUCCAUCCCGGAUUACCAAUCUCAGAUAAACUCCGAAUGCCAAUGAAUUAUGGUCGGCAGUCAGACUGCGAGUGCUAAGAUCCGUAGUCGAAAGGGAAACAGCCCAGACCACCAGCUAAGGUCCCAAAAUAAUUGUUAAGUGGAAGAGGAUGUGGGGUUGCACAGACAACUAGGAUGUUAGCUUAGAAGCAGCUAUUCAUUCAAAGAGUGCGUAAUAGCUCACUAGUCGAGUGACCCUGCGCCGAAAAUGUACCGGGGCUAAAACAAUUUACCGAAGCUGUGGAUACCUUUAUAGGUAUGGUAGGAGAGCGUUCUAUGUGUGAUGUAGGUAUACCGUGAGGAGUGCUGGAACGCAUAGAAGUGAGAAUGCCGGUAUGAGUAGCGAAAGACAGGUGAGAAUCCUGUCCACCGUAAGACUAAGGUUUCCAGGGGAAGGCUCGUCCGCCCUGGGUUAGUCGGGACCUAAGGAGAGACCGAAAGGUGUAUCCGAUGGACAACAGGUUGAUAUUCCUGUACUAGAGUAUGUAGUGAUGGAGGGACGCAGUAGGCUAACUAAAGCAGACGAUUGGAAGAGUCUGUCUAAGCAGUGAGGUGUGAAUUGAGUCAAAUGCUUAAUUCUAUAACAUUGAGCUGUGAUGGGGAGCGAAGUUUAGUAGCGAAGUUAGUGACGUCACACUGCCAAGAAAAGCUUCUAGCGUUUAAACAUACUCUACCCGUACCGCAAACCGACACAGGUAGUCGAGGCGAGUAGCCUCAGGUGAGCGAGAGAACUCUCGUUAAGGAACUCGGCAAAAUGACCCCGUAACUUCGGGAGAAGGGGUGCUGACUUAAAGUCAGCCGCAGUGAAUAGGCCCAAGCAACUGUUUAUCAAAAACACAGCUCUCUGCUAAAUCGUAAGAUGAUGUAUAGGGGGUGACGCCUGCCCGGUGCUGGAAGGUUAAGAGGAGUGCUUAGCGUAAGCGAAGGUAUGAAUUGAAGCCCCAGUAAACGGCGGCCGUAACUAUAACGGUCCUAAGGUAGCGAAAUUCCUUGUCGGGUAAGUUCCGACCCGCACGAAAGGCGUAAUGAUUUGGGCACUGUCUCAACGAGAGACUCGGUGAAAUUUUAGUACCUGUGAAGAUGCAGGUUACCCGCGACAGGACGGAAAGACCCCAUGGAGCUUUACUGCAGUUUGAUAUUGAGUGUCUGUACCACAUGUACAGGAUAGGUAGGAGUCUAAGAGAUCGGGACGCCAGUUUCGAAGGAGACGCUGUUGGGAUACUACCCUUGUGUUAUGGCCACUCUAACCCAGAUAGGUGAUCCCUAUCGGAGACAGUGUCUGACGGGCAGUUUGACUGGGGCGGUCGCCUCCUAAAAGGUAACGGAGGCGCCCAAAGGUUCCCUCAGAAUGGUUGGAAAUCAUUCGCAGAGUGUAAAGGUAUAAGGGAGCUUGACUGCGAGAGCUACAACUCGAGCAGGGACGAAAGUCGGGCUUAGUGAUCCGGUGGUUCCGUAUGGAAGGGCCAUCGCUCAACGGAUAAAAGCUACCCUGGGGAUAACAGGCUUAUCUCCCCCAAGAGUUCACAUCGACGGGGAGGUUUGGCACCUCGAUGUCGGCUCGUCGCAUCCUGGGGCUGUAGUCGGUCCCAAGGGUUGGGCUGUUCGCCCAUUAAAGCGGCACGCGAGCUGGGUUCAGAACGUCGUGAGACAGUUCGGUCCCUAUCCGUCGCGGGCGUAGGAAAUUUGAGAGGAUCUGCUCCUAGUACGAGAGGACCAGAGUGGACUUACCGCUGGUGUACCAGUUGUCUUGCCAAAGGCAUCGCUGGGUAGCUAUGUAGGGAAGGGAUAAACGCUGAAAGCAUCUAAGUGUGAAACCCACCUCAAGAUGAGAUUUCCCAUGAUUAUAUAUCAGUAAGAGCCCUGAGAGAUGAUCAGGUAGAUAGGUUAGAAGUGGAAGUGUGGCGACACAUGUAGCGGACUAAUACUAAUAGCUCGAGGACUUAUCCA
rnacentral:rRNA from 1 species